GAGUGGAUACUAUUUAUAUUAAGAUAUAUAUUUUAAAAACUACACUCUCAGCCUUAUGGAGGAGGAGAAAAACUCACGGUCACCAUGGGAGAGAAAGGAACCGUGAGGUUCAAGCUCUAGCCUCGUUGCCGAUUUUCGUUGUAUCGAUCGUCCGAUUACAUAAACCUUAAUAAAUUGAGAUAUCAGGACGAGGAGGAUAAUUGGGCGUGACACUGAGCGUCAAGGCCUCUACUAUGUUGAUGAGAUGGCUCACCAAGGCAGUGCCGCGAUGCUAGCUCACGGAUCUGCAUCUCGAGAAGCUUGGUUGUGGCAUCGACGUUUUGGUCACCCGUCACCUGGUUAUUUUAAAUUACUUUUCCCGAAUUUUUCUCAUCUCAAAGAUAUUGAUUGUGAGUCUCGUGUUUUGGCGAAAAGCCACAGACAGUCUUUUAAAUCUAGUGAAACUCGUGUUAAAACUCUUUUUUCCUUGGUUCAUGCUGAUGUGUGGGGCCCCGCGCCUAUUGCUGGUGA